GGGCCCAGCGAAUCUUUGAUCUGGGGCUGGGCGACGACGACGGGAACCUGGAGGAGGACUUCAUCACGUGGCGAGAACAGUUCUGGCCGGCCGUGUGCGAGCACUUUGGGGUGGAAGCCACCGGAGAGGAGUCCAGCAUUCGCCAGUACGAACUCAUGGUCCACACGGACAUGGACAUGGCCAAGGUGUACACGGGCGAGAUGGGCCGCCUGAAGAGCUAUGAGAACCAGAAACCCCCCUUCGACGCCAAGAACCCGUUCCUGGCUGUCGUCACCACCAACCGGAAGCUGAACCAGGGAACCGAGCGACACCUCAUGCACCUGGAAUUAGACAUCUCAGACUCCAA